rnacentral:misc_RNA from 1 species
CAGCCGUCAAAUCCUAAUGUAUAGCUCUCCAGUUAACUGUGCAUGUGAGAGUAUCCGUACUUCUGUUUCUUGGCUGGUAGAAACAAACUGAACACCCGCCAAUCAUCUCCCUGUCUUUAUACCAUGUAAAUAUAUAGAAGCAGCUUAAAGAUCAUGAUCGCGACUACUGGGGAUGUGAUGUGUUUUCAUGAUACAACUGAAUCUCAUGCUGUGAGGUUGUGCUUUGAAUCGCCGUUUUAUUUAGUGUGCCAAUUGUGUACUCUCUUUUUGUUCUCAUGUAUGGCCAUGAGAUGCCUUGUGGUUUUUUGACUUCAGGCUUUUGAUUUGCUUUGUAAUUCUCCUCCACAGCAAUGAGAACACAUCUCCUGUUUUGAAAGGGGUCGAACUUG